AUUGAACGCUGGCGGCAGGCCUAACACAUGCAAGUCGAACGGGAACAGGAAGACGCUUGCUUCUUUGCUGACGAGUGGCGGAUGGGUGAGUUAUGUCUGGGAAACUGCCUGAUGGAGGGGGAUAACUACUGGAAACGGUAGCUAAUACCGCAUAACGUCGCAAGAGCAAAGAGGGGGACCUUCGGGCGUCUUGCCAUCGGAUGUGCCCAGAUGGGAUUGGCUAGUAGGUGGGGUAACGGCUCACCUAGGCGACGAAGCGUAACUGGUCUGAGAGGAUGACCAGGCACACUGCAACUGUGACACGUUCCAGACUCCUACGGGAGGCGACAGAGGGGAAUAUUGCACAAGGCGCGGAUGGCUAGUGUAACCCAGCCGCGUGUAUGAAAAAGUCCUUCUGGUUUUAAAGUACUUUCAGCGGGGAGGAAGGGAGUAAAGUUAAUACCUUUACUCAUUGACGUUACCCGAAGAAGAAGCACCGGCUAACUCCGUG
rnacentral:rRNA from 1 species